UGCAAAAUAUUGUGUGGUGAUUGGUCGAUGGUCGAUGGUCGUCUCCUCCUCGUUUGGGUUUUUCCCCUGCUCAGCACAGGUGUCUGGACCACAAAGACGAGUUGUUUGUCGCGUUCCCAGG